rnacentral:rRNA from 1 species
AGUGAACGCUGGCGGUAGGCCUAACACAUGCAAGUCGAACGGCAGCACAGUAAGAGCUUGCUCUUACGGGUGGCGAGUGGCGGACGGGUGAGGAAUACAUCGGAAUCUACUUUUUCGUGGGGGAUAACGUAGGGAAACUUACGCUAAUACCGCAUACGACAUACGGGUGAAAGCAGGGGAUCUUCGGACCUUGCGCGAUUGAAUGAGCCGAUGUCGGAUUAGCUAGUUGGCGGGGUAAAGGCCCACCAAGGCGACGAUCCGUAGCUGAUCUGAGAGGAUGAUCAGCCACACUGGAACUGAGACACGGUCCAGACUCCUACGGGAGGCAGCAGUGGGGAAUAUUGGACAAUGGGCGCAAGCCUGAUCCAGCCAUACCGCGUGAGUGAAGAAGGCCUUCGGGUUGUAAAGCCCUUUUGUUGGGAAAGAAAAGCAGCAGGUUAAUACCCCGCUGUUCUGACGGUACCCAAAGAAUAAGCACCGGCUAACUUCGUG